GUACUCCUGGAACCCAUCUAGAAGGUAGCCGGAGCGUUUUUCAUCCCAAACGGCAUGACUUUAAAGUGGUACAGGCCGAAUGGGGUGACAAAGGCUGACUUGGGAUGGUGUCCGGAGACAAGGGAAUCGGUCAAUACCCCUUACAUAGAUCAAUAGAAGUGAGGUAUUGGCCUCUGGCCAUCCGGUCUAGCAGUCAUCUAUCCUGGCAUAGGAUACGCGUCUGAUACUG